rnacentral:rRNA from 1 species
UACAGAGGGUGCGAGCGUUGUUCGGAAUUAUUGGGCGUAAAGGGCGCGUAGGCGGUGCGGUAAGUCACCUGUGAAAUCUCCUGGCUCAACUGGGAGCUUGCAGGCGAAACUGCCGUGCUGGAGUGUGGGAGAGGUGCGUGGAAUUCCUGGUGUAGCGGUGAAAUGCGUAGAUAUCAGGAGGAAUACCGAUGGCGAAGGCAGGUCUCUGGGCUGACACUGACGCUCAUGCACGAAAGCGUGGGGAGCAAACAGG